rnacentral:rRNA from 1 species
UGGGGAAUUUUGGACAAUGGGCGCAAGCCUGAUCCAGCCAUGCCGCGUGCGGGAAGAAGGCCUUCGGGUUGUAAACCGCUUUUGUCAGGGAAGAAAUCUUCUGAGUUAAUACCUCGGGAGGAUGACGGUACCUGAAGAAUAAGCACCGGCUAACUACGUGCCAGCAGCCGCGGUAAUACGUAGGGUGCAAGCGUUAAUCGGAAUUACUGGGCGUAAAGCGUGCGCAGGCGGUUUUGUAAGACAGAGGUGAAAUCCCCGGGCUCAACCUGGGAACUGCCUUUGUGACUGCAAGGCUUGAGUGCGGCAGAGGGGGAUGGAAUUCCGCGUGUAGCAGUGAAAUGCAGUAGAUAUGCGGAGGAACACCGAUGGCGAAGGCAAUCCCCUGGGCCUGCACUGACGCUCAUGCACGAAAGCGUGGGGAGCAAACAGGAUUAGAUACCCUGGUAGUCCACGCCCUAAAACGAUGUCAACUGGUUGUUGGGAAGGUUCCUUCUCAGUAACGUAGCUAACGCGUGAAGUUGACCGCCUGGGGAGUACGGCCGCAAGGUUGAAACUCAAAUGAAUUGACGGGGUCAUAGCUGUUUCC